AAAAAGCACCGGCUAACUACGUGCCAGCAGCCGCGGUAAUACGUAGGGUGCAAGCGUUAUUCGGAUUUAUUGGGCGUAAAGCGCAUGUAGGCGGUUCGGUAAGUCUGGUGUGAAAGCCCUCGACUCAAUCGAGGAAGUGCAUUGGAUACUGUCGAACUGGAGUACAGGAGGGGUGAGCGGAAUUCCAGGUGUAGAGGUGAAAUUCGUAGAUAUCUGGAGGAACAACAGCGGCGAAGGCGGCUCACUGGACUGUAACUGACGCUCAGAUGCGAUAGUGUGGGGAGCAAACAG
rnacentral:rRNA from 1 species